rnacentral:hammerhead_ribozyme from 1 species
AUCCAACUGACAAGUUCCACAUAAGACGAAGCGCACGUCCUGGAU